ensembl:lncRNA
CAGUCCGGCCCGUCUCCCAAACCCACAGUGUAUUGUAUUGAUCUGUUGCCGUGUGGAUGGAUUAUCGGGGGCCCUAUUUUUCUCUGUGCAUUAGAUCUGUAAUACACUGGUACCCAAUCACCGGCCACUAAUGGAUGGGGCCGCUCAUGCUCAUUGACAGCCUUUUGUGGGACGUAAUGAACACUAGAUCACCUGAUGAAUGCCAAGGCUCCGGAGGAAACGUCGGCUCUUUCAUUGGGGGGGGGGUGGGUUCACACAGUCACACCCCCCCCCCUUCCCACCUCCCCACGAUCGAAUUGCCAGUGUCGGCCAUUACACGGAGCCGUGACACACUCAAUUGCAGUUCUGCCAUAAUAACCAGACAUUCAUCUCGGGCCCAUGCUACACCCUCUCAAAUGUCUGCUUUAUGCUAAUGGAGGGAAAUGAAGUCCAUUUUGAGCGCUCGUGACGAACGUGUUUCACCGGGUGACGACGCCCGGGAAGGUCGCACGAGGAUGCUGCCGCCAUGACGGUGAAGGAGGACUCGUGAUGGAGUGGAGCAUCACAGAGGAGGAGGUGUGACGGUGAAGGAGGACUCGUGAUGGAGUGGAGCAUCACAGAGGAGGAGUUGUGACGGUGAUGGAGGACUCGUG